ACUCCUACGGGAGGCAGCAGUGGGGAAUAUUGCACAAUGGGGGCAACCCUGAUCCAGCAAUGCCGCGUGUGUGAAGAAGGCCUGCGGGUUGUAAAGCACUUUCAGUAGAGAAGAAAAGCCUAGGGUUAAUACCCCUGAGUCUUGACGUUACCUACAGAAGAAGCUCCGGCUAACUCCGUGCCAGCAGCCGCGGUAAUACGGAGGGAGCGAGCGUUAAUCGGAAUUACUGGGCGUAAAGCGCACGUAGGCGGCUUUGUAAGUCGGAUGUGAAAGCCCCGGGCUUAACCUGGGAAUGGCAUUCGAUACUGCAGAGCUAGAGUAUGGUAGAGGGAAGUGGAAUUUCCGGUGUAGCGGUGAAAUGCGUAGAUAUCGGAAGGAACACCGGUGGCGAAGGCGACUUCCUGGGCCAAUACUGACGCUGAGGUGCGAAAGCGUGGGUAGCAAACAGGAUUAGAUACCCUGGUAGGCUCUG
rnacentral:rRNA from 1 species